rnacentral:rRNA from 1 species
AGUGGAUGGGGAGCAACCUAGUUGUGCGUGUGUAAAGGUAGUGCCAAGAAAAGCGGUGAUCAUGAUGAAAAUCAAUUCCCGGUACCCGAAACCGACACAGGUGGGCAAGUAGAGAAUACUAAGGGGCGCGAGGUAACUCUCUCCAAGGAACUCGGCAAAAUGACCCCGUAACUUAGGGAGAAGGGGUGCCACCGAGAGGUGGUCGCAGUGAAGAGGCCCAGGCGACUGUUUAGCAAAAACAUAGGUCUCUGCAAACUCGAAAGAGGAGGUAUAGGGGCUGACGCCUGCCCAGUGCCGGAAGGUUAAAGAAGUUGGUCAGUCUUAGGAUAAAGCUAGCGACUGAAGCCCCGGUGAACGGCGGCCGUAACUAUAACGGUCCUAAGGUAGCGAAAUUCCUUGUCGGGUAAGUUCCGACCCGCACGAAAGGCGUAACGAUCUGGGCGCUGUCUCGGAGAGAGGCUCGGCGAAAUAGGAUUGUCUGUGAAGAUACGGACUACCUGCAUUUGGACAGAAAGACCCUAUGAAGCUUUACUAUAGCUUGGAAUUGUGUUCGGGCUUCCUGUGCGCAGGAUAGGUGGGAGGCGAAGAAGGUAUUCUUGUGGGGAUACUGGAGCCAACGGUGAGAUACCACUCUCAGGAGGCUAGAAUUCUAACUUAAUUAAGGACAGUUUCAGGUGGGUAGUUUGACUGGGGCGGUCGCCUCCAAAAAGGUAACGGAGGCGUACAAAGGUUCCCUCAGACUGGUUGGAAAUCAGUCGCAGAGUGCAAAGGCAGAAGGGAGCUUGACUGCGAGAAGUACAGUUCGAGCAGGGUGGAAACACGGUCUUAGUGAUCCGACGGUGCUGUGUGGAAGGGCCGUCGCUCAACGGAUAAAAGUUACUCUAGGAUAACAGGCUGAUCUCCCCCAAGAGUUCACAUCGACGGGGAGGUUUGGCACCUCGAUGUCGGCUCAUCGCAACCUGGGGCGGAAGUACGUCCCAAGGGUUGGGCUGUUCGCCCAUUAAAGCGGUACGUGUGCUGGGUUCAGAACGUCGUGAGACAGUUCGGUCCAUAUCCGAUGUAGGCGUGAGAAUAUUGAGAGGAGCCUUCCUUAGUACGAGAGGACCGGGAAGGACGCACCGCUGGUGUACCUGUUAUGAUGCCAAUUGUAAACGCAGGGUAGCCAAGUGCGGAGAGGAUAACCGCUGAAAGCAUCUAAGUGGGAAGCCCACCUCAAGAUGAGUAUUCUGGUGUAAGGUCACGGGAAGACGACCCGUAAAUAGGCACGAGGUGGAAGUGCAGAGAUGUAUGAAGCCGAAGUGUACUAAUAGACCGUCGGCUUGAC